rnacentral:rRNA from 1 species
AGAAUGAACGCUGGCGGCGUGCUUAACACAUGCAAGUCGAGCGCGAAAGGGGUUUCGGCCCCGAGUAGAGCGGCGAACGGGUGAGUAACACGUGGAUAACCUACCCAUGGAGCGUGGGAUAACCUGGGGAAACUCGGGCUAAUACCGCAUACGACCGUGGCGCGAAAGCGCGACGAGGAAAGACAGCCACUGCUUGCAUGCUGUCACUCCUGGAUGGGUCCGCGCCUGAUUAGCUAGUUGGUGAGGUAACGGCUCACCAAGGCGACGAUCAGUAGCCGGCCUGAGAGGGCGAUCGGCCACACUGGAACUGAGACACGGUCCAGACUCCUACGGGAGCAGCAGUGGGGAAUAUAGGACAAGUGGGGCAACCCUGAUCCAGCAACGCCGCGUGGAGGACGAAGGUCUUCGGAUUGUAAACUCCUGUCGAGAGGGGACGAAAGGCUCGUCGGGUUAACACGGCCCCGUGAGCUUGACGGUACU